UGAUAAAUUAAUAAAACGCUUCCAAAAAAACAUCGGAUCGGGGGACUGAAGUUGGGAACGAUUAUUUGCAGCGAUUGUAAUGAAACCAUUCAGUAUUUUGAUGACGAAAAAGUGACAGUUCUUUAUGCCAGCAGCAAGAAUUGCUUUUGCCAUGUAGAAGAGGAAGACAGCGACAAAAUAUGAAGAAUAACCGCCAGACCACAUGUGGUCUGGCGGUUAUUUC
rnacentral:sRNA from 1 species